ACCUCUUCCCAUUCCGAACAGAGAAGUCAAGCCCGCCAGAGCCGAUGGUAUUGCCGUAACAGGUGGGAGAGUAGGUCGGUGCCUUUU
rnacentral:rRNA from 1 species